GAUCCUGGCUCAGGAUGAACGCUGGCGGCGUGCAUAACACAUUCAAGUCGAACGGUGAAGCUUCUUCGGAAGCGGAUCAGUGGCGGACGGGUGAGUAACGCGUGAGCAACCUACCUACGAAUGGGGGAUAACACAGGGAAACUUGUGCUAAUACCGCAUAACAUAUACGGAUCGCAUGGUUUGUAUAUCAAAGGGAAACCGGUCGUAGAUGGGCUCGCGUCUGAUUAGGUAGUUGGUGAGGUAACCGG
rnacentral:rRNA from 1 species